rnacentral:misc_RNA from 1 species
CACACGCACAUCGGAACAGGCGUGCGGGACGUACACACCCGCACAAGUGCGAAAGUCACGGGGCACGGUUUAACGCAUGCAGUCGAAGGUGAUUGCAUUGCUUACCUCACGGCCGCUGUUGACCGCGGCUGAGGCGGCCAUGGAGCUUGGGGUGGCUCAUGGAGACUUGCAACCGAUCUUUGCCUCCGUCGCCGCAUCAAACAAGGGCGUCUACACACUUCUGACCGGCUCCGUCGAGGAAGCAGCCGACGGAAGCGCCACGGCGGUUGUGAUGCGCAAGGCAGAUCGCCUCGAGGAAGACACCUCCUCUUACGCACUCCUCUCUCUGACCUACCCCUCGAAUAUGUCAGCGUCGUCACUUCCGGUGCGGCUGCAUCCCUGCAGAGAGGCAUCGCUGCGCGCGUAUCCAUUAGUGGCAAGGAGCGACAUGGAACCCCGCGCGGCAGCGACAGCUCCGCCGGUCGCCGCCGGUGCGCCAGCAGCAACAGAGCUGACAAGAACAGAAGACAGUAAGCCUGCGGCGGCAUCGUUGUCUGCUGCUACUCCAGUCGCACCGACAAUACCCCCACUAGCGCAGGACGAGCCGCCCCGAAGCACGCCGACUCCUGCGACUGUGACAGCUCCCAAGAAAGAGACGGCGGCUCGAACGCCGUCGCCGAAGGCUGCUCUCUUCGAUAAGAUGAAGGAGGCGGCGGCCACAAAGCGCCCUCGCACGGAGAAGGCGCAAUCAAAGCCGCCGCGCCAACCAGCGAAACCGAAGAAGGUGGCGAAGACGGAGAACACGACGAGCUUGGCCAAGCUGGCGCGUGCGUCGAAGAGGAAGAGCGGCGGCACCCCUGCAGCCACAGGCGCCGGCACCGCGCCGACUUCCAUGCGCUUUCUCGACGACUACGACGAUGCGACGGCUCACUUUAGCCACAGCGAGGGCAGCACCAGCCAUUCAGAGGCCAUCGCGAAGGAGGAGCCGCCUAUCUUUGACGUGGUCGAGGUGCCUGCCUCAAACGACGAGGUUAUCAUGUGUGACGACGCCCCACCGCUCGCAUUCCGCCCAGCGGCGCCGCUGCCCUCUCCACCGACACCAACUCCUACCAAGAAGGGGCCCGAGGCCACGAAGGCGAGCUCAGCCGCUGCGGCGGCAGAGGCAGGUGCAGCACAGUGCAAGCUUAGCACCUUCUUCAACGCCGCGGUCGUGGAGUUCCAGAAGGCGUACGUGCGCGAGAUGCAGACGGAGAUGAAGGUGGAAAACGGCGAGUUUGUCUGCUGUGAUGUACCCCGUUACAAGCACAGUGCCACGGGAGAGGUGAUUAGCGAGGACGAGUACCACCAGCGCACCGCGGCGUUUGUCCGAAGCAACUCGCAAGACGCCGCCGCAAACACCCCGAAUCGGAAGUCCGCCGGCGCCUCCGUCGAGUCACCACCGUGUCCGACUGCAAAGCAGAAGACGGGUUCGCGAGGCACUGGGCAGAAGUCGGUGGCGCAAGAGGAAACGGCAGCGACGCCGGCCAAGACGCUUCACUCCUUCUUCAAGACUUCCUCGGCCUGACAAAGACGGUGUACGUGCUCGGUGGCGUUCCUGUGUUCGUCUUUUUUUUUUCCUUCCGGAGUUGGAAGAGAGCCCUCUGCGCAGUUCCAACGGUCAUCCUUGUCGAGGGGAGGCGGGUGGCGUGUAACUGGAGAGCCUUGCCGGCUGCUAGUGUUGUUCACGAUUGCCUAAGAUGCUGAGGUGCGCCUGUGAAGCAGUUUUACUAGACUUCAGCGGUCUGUAUGCAUGGAGGGCGGUCUCCGACCCCGCUCUCCUCUCCGUCCCCCUCAAGGGGCUGGGCCCUGCGCAUGAGCGCAGGGCUCCUUUACACCACCACCUGCGUCUUCUUUCCUCUCUCGGGUCUCCUGCACCUUCAUAGAGGCAAACGCGCCUGCCGCUGCGCCGUCACGCACACGCGCUCGCAGUGCCCAUCCAUAGAAUUCGUUUUUUUUUGUGUGUCAGACUUUUGCAGAGCAGCGGACCAAACAACGUAAAACUGCGGCGAUGUACGCCACACGUGAGCUUGCAUAACGUCCCGAAGUGCGUUGCACGACGUUUCAUUGCCGCCACUCCGCUCUGCCCACCCGUCCCCCCCCUCUUAUUCUUCUCUGUGCGCUUAUGCGUGCAUCACGUUGGGACACG